UGAGGAAUUUUCCACAAUGGGCGAAAGCCUGAUGGAGCAAUACCGCGUGAAGGAUGAAGGCCUUCGGGUUGUAAACUUCUUUUAUAUGGGAAGAUUAAGACGGUAACAUAUGAAUAAGCAUCGGCUACCUACGUGCCACCAGCCGCGGUAAUACGACAGAUGCCAGCGUUAUUCGGAAUUAUUGGGCGUAGCGAGGGGGGAGGUGGUGUGUUAAGUUAACUGUUAAGUCUCCGGGCUCAACCCAGCGGC
rnacentral:rRNA from 1 species